AAGUUGGAUGCAGUUAUCUGUCAAGACGCCAUUGUUAUUGUGAAAAUUUGUACUGUGUUCUACUGCAAUCAGUGUUGAUUGUCCUUCCACUUGUCGCGUUUUGAAAUUAAUAAUAGCAAUUUAAAUUACGAGUUUCUUUAUACCGUUCAAUAAAUUGAACGGAUAGAAAACCUAAUAAUGGGUCUCAUUUGUUCAACAGCGCAGCUUGCCUGCCUGUGCAGCAGCACAGCCUGCAGUUUCUGUUGUUCUCAAUGUCCAUCGUGUCGCAACAGCACGAGUACUCGUAUUAUGUAUGCAUUAUUAUUAAUGAUAGGAACUAUUGCUGCUUGCAUUACAUUGGCUCCUGGUUUGCAAGAUGCGCUUAAAAAGGUACCAUUUUGUGCUAAUAGCACAAACUAUGUUCCAUCGAAAUUCACUAUUGAUUGUGAGUCCGCUGUUGGAUAUUUAGCAGUGUAUAGAAUAUGUUUCAUCAUAGCUUUGUACUUCUUUUUGAUGUCUGUUAUGAUGAUCAGAGUAAGAAGUUCUAAAGAUCCCAGGGCACCUAUACAAAAUGGAUUCUGGGCUAUUAAAUAUCUUCUAAUAAUCGGUGGAAUAAUUGGCGCAUUUUUCAUACCUGAAAAGUCAUUUGGAACAACAUGGAUGUAUUUUGGAAUGAUUGGUGGCUUUCUUUUUAUUAUUAUUCAAUUAAUUCUCAUAGUUGAUUUUGCCCAUUCAUGGGCAGAUGCUUGGGUUGGUAAUUAUGUGGAUACAGGAUCAAAAGGAUGGUAUGCUGCACUAUUAGGAGCAACGUUGUUUAAUUACGCUGUUUCUAUUACCGGAAUUGUUUUACUUUUUAUAUACUUUACUCACCCAUAUACCUGUGCCUUGAAUAAAUUUUUCAUAUCCUUCAACCUAAUCUUAUGUGUAAUUGUUAGUAUCAUAUCAACUCUACCAGUUGUACAAGAACAUUAUCCACGUUCUGGUCUUCUUCAAUCGUCUAUUGUUUCCUUGUACGUUGUUUAUUUAACAUGGAGUGGAAUUUCAAACAGUCCAGAUAGUGAAUGCAAUCCUGGAUUCCUGAAAAUGUUUUCUCCUAAUGAUACCGAUGCACGUAAUCGCGUAUCUUUCGAUAAAGAAAGUGUUAUUGGUUUAGUCAUCUGGUUUAGUUGUGUAUUGUAUAGUUCUUUGCGUACUGCAUCCAAAUCAUCAAAACUUACAAUGUCCGAGAAUGUUUUGGUCAAGGAUAAUGGAGCAGUUAGGAACGCAGUUGACCAGAGUCUUAUCGACAACGAAGAUUAUACUCCAGUAGAAGGCCGUAAUCCUGACGCAGAAAGUGGAAAUGAGGCUAAAGUAUGGGAUAAUGAAGAGGACACGGUAGCUUACAAUUGGAGUUUCUUCCAUCUCAUGUUUGCUCUCUCCACGCUAUAUGUUAUGAUGACACUUACUAAUUGGUACCAACCAAAUUCCGAUUUGAAUACUCUGAACUCCAAUGCUGCCUCAAUGUGGGUAAAAAUUAUAUCCUCUUGGAUGUGUUUGGGACUGUAUGGAUGGUCAUUGAUCGCUCCUGCAAUAUUGACAAAUCGAGAUUUCUCUUAAAUAUAGAAAUAUCGUCACAAAACGUGGAGAGUGGUAAUUAGCAGGUAUACAAAUCUAUAUAAUAUAGAAUAAUUAGUAUUAAAACAAUUCUCAAACUCAUAUAUACAUUUUUUUUUUUUUGUUUUGAGCUUCCAUAUAAAUGUUGCAUUUAAAUGAUACAUAUUUAUGGAAAAAUUGAUUAUUUUUUAAAUUGUUUCAAGCAGUUAUAAUAUGUCUUUUAGAAUUAGUUUAUUUCUUUAUAAUAUUUAACUAACAGUAUCACAUUAUAAUUAUAAAAUUAAAUGCUACUAUAAUUAAUGAUUACUUAACAUAAGUAUAUAUUAUGUAACAAAUAAUUAUAUAUUGUAUCGGACAAUUCCGCUUUUAACUUCUAUUGCACAUAAAACUGUUCUAAAGUUUUUGUAUACCCUGAAUAGUUAAGACUGUUAUAAAAAUAUCUAUACAAAGUUAUAUUAUGAUCUCUAUAAAGUAUUGAUACUCGAUGUAUGUUUGCAUACAUAUUAAAUUAAUGCAAACGAAUACUACUAUGGACGCAGCGAUACCAAAAUAACAACUGUUUAUAAAUACAAUUAUGUCUUACUUAAAAGAUUAGGUUGAAUCGCAUUUUCCUCUAUUUUACAAUAAUAUAUUUGUGCAGAGCAACUGUAAUAAAUACAUUAAUAUAACAUAUUUCACA